rnacentral:rRNA from 1 species
UACAGAGGUCUCAAGCGUUGUUCGGAUUCAUUGGGCGUAAAGGGUGCGUAGGUGGCUCCGUAAGUCGGGUGUGAAAUUUCGGAGCUUAACUCCGAAACUGCAUUCGAUACUGCGGUGCUUGAGUACUGGAGAGGAGACUGGAAUUCAUGGUGUAGCAGUGAAAUGCGUAGAGAUCAUGAGGAAGACCAGUGGCGAAGGCGGGUCUCUGGACAGUUCCUGACACUGAGGCACGAAGGCCAGGGGAGCAAACGGG